rnacentral:lncRNA from 1 species
GCUUGUAAAUAUAUGGACGUAUGACAUGGAUUAUAGAGCCAAUCAAGUUAACUUAGUAUAUAAACUAUAGGGACCAAUUAACUAUUCGUAAUACCUAAGAGGAUCUAACACUAAUCCUAGCCCUUACAUCCAUGCGCCAAUGUUAGGUGUAUCGGUGCACGCGGCAUGUCCAAGAAAGUUGGAGCAGCCUCUUCUACGGGGUU